rnacentral:rRNA from 1 species
UAUCAGCUUGUUGGUGAGGUAAUGGCUCACCAAGCGACGACGGUAGCCGGCCUGAGAGGGUGACCGGCCACACUGGGACUGAGACACGGCCCAGAYUCUACGGGAGGCAGCAGUGGGGAAUAUUGCACAAUGGGCGGAAGCCUGAUGCAGCGACGCCGCGUGAGGGAUGACGGCCUUCGGGUUGUAAACCUCUUUCAGUAGGGAAGAAGCGAAAGUGACGGUACCUGCAGAAGAAGCACCGGCUAACUACGUGCCAGCAGCCGCGGUAAUACGUAGGGUGCGAGCGUUAUCCGGAAUUAUUGGGCGUAAAGAGCUCGUAGGCGGUUUGUCGCGUCUGUCGUGAAAGUCCGGGGCUUAACCCCGGAUCUGCGGUGGGUACGGGCAGACUAGAGUGCAGUAGGGGAGACUGGAAUUCCUGGUGUAGCGGUGGAAUGCGCAGAUAUCAGGAGGAACACCGAUGGCGAAGGCAGGUCUCUGGGCUGUAACUGACGCUGAGGAGCGAAAGCAUGGGGAGCGAACAGGAUUAGAUACCCUGGUAGUCCAUGCCGUAAACGUUGGGCACUAGGUGUGGGGACCAUUCCACGGUUUCCGCGCCGCAGAAACGCAUUA